rnacentral:rRNA from 1 species
GAUGAACGCUGGCGGCAUGCCUAACACAUGCAAGUCGAACGGCAAGUGGUUUUUCCAGUGGCGAACGGGUGAGUAACGCGUAAGAACCUGCCCUUUGGAGCGGAACCACAACUGGAAACGGUUGCUACUACCCCGUAGUCUCAGUAGCAAAAGGGGAAAUCCGCCCAAGGAGGGGCGGGCGCCUGGUUAACUAGUUGGUUAGGUAAUAGCUUACCAAGGCGAUGAUCAGUAGCUGGUGCGAGAGGAAGAUCGGCCAGACUGGGACUGAGACACGGACCGGAGAACAACGGAAGGCAGCAGUGAGGAAGUUUCAGCAAUGGGCGAUAGGCUAACGGAGCAUUGGCGUGUGAAAGUGGAAGGGCUACGAAUGAACAGCAGCAUGUCAAGAAGAAGAAGUAAUGACGGUAUCUAAAGAAUAAGCACCGGCUAACUCUGUG